GACGAACGCUGGCGGCGUGCUUAACACAUGCAAGUCGAACGAAGAGCGAUGGAAGCUUGCUUCUAUCAAUCUUAGUGGCGAACGGGUGAGUAACGCGUAAUCAACCUGCCCUUCAGAGGGGGACAACAGUUGGAAACGACUGCUAAUACCGCAUACGAUCUAAUCUCGGCAUCGAGGAUGGAUGAAAGGUGGCCUCUAUGUAUAAGCCAUCACUGAAGGAGGGGAUUGCGUCUGAUUAGCUAGUUGGAGGGGUAACGGCCCACCAAGGCGAUGAUCAGUAGCCGGUCUGAGAGGAUGAACGGCCACAUUGGGACUGAGACACGGCCCAGACUCCUACGGGAGGCAGCAGUGGGGAAUCUUCCGCAAUGGACGAAAGUCUGACGGAGCAACGCCGCGUGAGUGAUGACGGCCUUCGGGUUGUAAAGCUCUGUUAAUCGGGACGAAAGGCCUUCUUGCGAAUAUU
rnacentral:rRNA from 1 species